GCGGGACCCUGCAUACCUGGAAGCGGCGGGUGGCGUCCUCCUUGUCGCCCUCACCCACCCGGUCCGGGUGUACCUGCAGGGACACCUUGUGGUAGCCUCGUCGGACCUCGCCGUCGGAGGCCUCGCGUCGCACGCCCAGCACCCGGUAAAGGUCGGCGGUGCCGAACACUUCCUCGCAAAGGUCCAGCAGCCCCAUGCCGGGCGGAGAUACGACCCCGGAGGAAGCAGCCGCUCCCAGCUGCGCCGGGUACAACCCAGGACUGCUUCUUUUUCGCGCCCAAAAAGCCCAGGGCGCCUGCGUCACAAGCACUGAAGGGGCGUGGCCACGCCGCGCAUCCGCGCUUUACGGCGGCCGCAAAAUGAGGUGUGGCGAGUCAGGCGCGGGCCCGGGUAAGUAACGCCGGCAUGUGGAGUCACAGUCCCCGGCCGCGCGCAGGAGCUAGGUCUUCAGGGAAGUGAUGUUGCUCGGGUCUCUCCUCCCCUUGCUCUGGAAAUCUGGCGUCCGUCUUACCUUUUAGUGUCCAAGAACAACUUUUUCAAAAAGUUCAUAUAUUAGCUUGAAUUUACAAACUGCUGGCCUAUUUUUUUAAGUAGAAAACGGCCAAACAUCAGCAUUCAGCAGUUACACAUGGUUCAACUUAACAGAUGUGUUUUUUCAAAAAUGUUCUUGAAAGGAAUAGGUAAAGCUGUAGACCCAAAUAAUUUUGCACCCCACUGGUUGGAAAUGCUGGGGUACUUUCCCUCUAGCCCUGUAGGAAAAAACCCUAUACUGAAACCCAAAAAGCACAAAACACGGGUCUUCCAAAAACUCUUACCUAAUAGGACUUUCACCUUACACAUUGGUGGAGAGAGAUAACAUGACCCAAGCCUCCGUCUUAAUAACAUAAACUGCUGAAGCAAAGGCUCUUUCUUUUAAUACUCUGUGAAGUUCACAGCUGGGUUUGAACAUGUUGGAUCCCAGGUGGCAGCAGAGUGGGCUGGAGCAAUCAUCCAAGAGAUGGUGAGAAACUUGGGCCUGGAGACCCAAAGCAAGGUUGAGGCUGGGGAUAAAACUUUGUUAGUAGGGUAAACUCACAGAGGAAGUAUGUGUAUACAUAUCUUAAAGGAUAAACAAUGCUAAGUGAAUACCCGAGUUGGCAGAAAAUACCUUAUCAAAUAUCCCCUCACUGAUGUAGCAUUUUUCAGAAUCAUUCUGCUCUGCCAAUAAGUUUCUGCAAAGCCUCAAACUCUCCAGGAUACAUUAAUAUCUUUUAAACUUCCCAGAGUUGCCGUGAUUUUCAAAGCAUUUCUCUUUCCCAGAUCCAAGAUCAAACUCAGCUGAAGUCAGUUCCUCUCAACCUGCCCUGGCAUCAAAGUCUCAAAGCAAGUGGGGGCCAACCAGCAACAACCCCAGGGGAGCUUUGACAACCACAGAAUUUGAGAUGGCUGGUAAUCGUUCUCAGAACAUAAAACACAAAGCUGGACUGUAGUGGAACAAUCACAGUUCACUGCAGCAUCGGCCUCCUGGGCUCAAGUGAUCUUACUGCCUCAGCUUCCCGAGUAGCUGGAACUAUGGGUGAGCAACACCACAGCCAGCUAAUUUUUUAAGUUUUUGUAGAGACGGGGUCUUGCUGUGUUGCACAGGCUGGUCUCAAACUCUGGCUUCAAGUGAUCCUUCCACCUCAGCCUCCCAAAGUGCUGAGAUUACAGGUGUGAGCCACUGCCCCAAUGGUAUCUUUAUAUUAUUUUUCCUUACAAGUUACUUCAAAUUCUUGAUGUUGAAUUUCAUCUCACUGACUUCAGGCUUUUAAAACACAUGGGAAUACUUGAGACCUAAGAAUGGUUGUGAGUCAAAUAAAAAAGUAGAACUAAAGUAUACUGAAGUUAUUCAAAUACAUUCAAACUAUAAAGAUCCCUUAUAGAUUACUGGCAUCAAGGUAGGAAGGAAAAGAUACAAGAAGUAAAAUGCAACACUCAUUACAGGUUGUCAACAUUAUUGGUAUACAGUUUAUCCUAACACAGAGCAGCCUUCUUAACCUGCUCCAUAAAAUUACCAGCAAGAAAGAAAAGUACAAGAAUAAGGUUCACAGCUGAAUUGGCUUGGUGUCCUAAUUCCCUAUUCCAGUAUUCUCAGAAGGAUCCCAUCUAUGAUAUAUGCAGAAAUCACAGCCACAUUUGAAUGGUUCAAUCUUGAUUCAUACUGAACUCCCUUAAGCCCAGCAGUUUCUCAUUCUUAAAAGGUAGGUUAUUAGAGCCCCAAAGCAAUUUUCAUAACAAAUCUACCUUUGUAUAUUUAAGAAUAUGCAUUAAGGCUAGGAGUGGUGGCUCACGCCAGUAAUCCUAGCACUUUGGGAGGCCGAGGUGGGCAGAUCACAAGGUCAGAUUGAGACCAUCCUGGCCAACACGGUGAAACCCCAUCUCUACUAAAAAUACAAAAAUUUGCCCGGGCGGUGGCUCACGCCUAUAAUCCCAGCACUUUUGGGAGGCCAAGGCGGGCGGAUCACGAGGUCAGGAGAUCAAAACCAUCCUGGAUAACAUGGUGAAACCCCAUCUCUACUAAAAAUACAAAAAAAUUAGCUGGGUGUGGUGGUGGGCACCUGUAGUCCCAGCUACUCCUGGGACUACUCGGGAGGCUGAAGCAGGAGAAUGGCAUGAACCCAGGAGACAGAGCUUGCAGUGAGCCGAGAUCGCGCCACUGCACUCAAGCCUGGGCGACAGAGCGAGACUCCUCUCAAAAAAAAAAAAAAAAUUAGCUGGGUGUGGUGGUGCAUGCUUGUAGCUCCCCGGCUACUCAGGAGGCUGAGGCAGGAGAACCUCUUGAACCCAGGAGGUGGAGAUUGCAGUGAGCUGAGAUUGCACCACCGCACUCCAGCCUGGCAACAGAACAAGACUCCGUCUCAAAAAAAAAAAAAAAAAGAGAAUAUGCAUUAGGCAAGACAAUAUAAACCUCCAAUUACAAAAAUCAAUUAAGAAAGGUUAACUGUUCUUGCACUUGUGGGAUGAACAUGAAGAUCUGAAUGGGCCAUGAAUAGUCUGGCUGGGGGUUUUGAAGCAGGAAGUCUUGGAAGCCAGUAAAUUGUAAAGUUGUCCAAGAGACCCAGAGCCCAACUCAAAAGUCCAAUCCUCCCAUAGCCACUGUCUAUCCCAAGACAAAGUCGAAAAAAGCUAAUUAGUACCCACACCCAGCUCUAAGUCACACAAGAACAAAUCUCUCCCUGGGCCCUGUGCAGGCCAGGCCAGAAGAGCAAGGGCAACUCAGGAUACUCCAUUUAUUGAACUCCAAAUCUAACAAAAUUAAGAUCGCUGCAGUGUUUCAAAAGGACCUUGACCUUGUUCCCACUGCUAUGCUCACUAAAGUCAGCUCAUUUAUGUUUCUGUAGCCUCUGUAUCUGUAGCUUCUGCAUCUGUUUUCUGAGAAGCUAACAGGACUUCACGUGCCCGUUUCCUUCGCAGUCUCUCAGCAUUUGUGAUCAUCAUAGGAUGCAGAGGGAAAAAGCCAGCAAGACCUAAAAGUAACAGAUUUUUCACUUAUUAUAACACAGUAUAAGCCAAUGCUUCCCUAGGAACUCUGUCUCACAGAACUGAGGUCUGAGAUCUGACCCAGUGCAUGGAUGCAAACCAUGCUCCUCACUUGCCAAACUCUGUACUACUUCUCCCCGGCAAGGAGACAGUGGAUGUCUACUUCCCUAACAAUAUUCCCCUUACUUUAAAAAACGUAAACUGACAGAUGGCCAUUCAAAACAUACUAUUCCUAUUUUUAGCAUAAAAUACCAGUCACCCAAAGUCUUACAAAGGAGUCCACAAAAGGGGCCUCCAGAUUCAAAAUGCCAAUUAGAUCACAACUUCAGCUCCCACUUCAGUCCUGAACAGCCUAGAGGGAAUGAAAUAACUCUUUUUUUUUUU
rnacentral:lncRNA from 1 species